rnacentral:lncRNA from 1 species
GGGGAGCUGAAGGUCUGACGUGGAGACAUCUCCACUUCCAAUGACGUAGGGGAACGGCGUGCGUCUUCGCCCAGGGAAUAUGCGAGGAAACCCACUACCCUGCAUGCAUUUUAGACGUUACUUAAUUCGCAGGUUCCCGCUAACUUGCGGACGAAGCAUCAUAUGGCGGGCCAUCCUGCAAGCGGACAUCAAAUCCUGGGAA